rnacentral:rRNA from 1 species
GACGAACGCUGGCGGCGUGCUUAACACAUGCAAGUCGAACGGAAAGGCCCUGCUUUUGUGGGGUGCUCGAGUGGCGAACGGGUGAGUAACAAGUGAGUAACCUGCCCUUGACUUUGGGAUAACUUCAGGAAACUGGGGCUAAUACCGGAUAGGAGCUCAUGCUGCAUGGUGGGGGUUGGAAAGUUUCGGCGGUUGGGGAUGGACUCGCGGCUUAUCAGCUUGUUGGUGGGGUAGUGGCUUACCAAGGCUUUGACGGGUAGCCGGCCUGAGAGGGUGACCGGCCACAUUGGGACUGAGAUACGGCCCAGACUCCUACGGGAGGCAGCAGUGGGGAGUAUUGCACAAUGGGCGGAAGCCUGAUGCAGCGACGCCGCGUGCGGGAUGACGGCCUUCGGGUUGUAAACCGCUUUCGCCUGUGACGAAGCGUUAGUGACGGUAAUGGGUAAAGAAGCACCGGCUAACUACGUG